UUAUCAACCGGGACAUGAUCAACCGGGACAUUAACUUUAGGUGCUUUAGGUGCCUUGGGUGCUUUAGGUGCCUUGGGAUCUUUCGGUGCUUUAGGUGCCUUGGGAACUUUGGGUGCUUUAGGUGCCUUGGGAACUUUCGGUGCUUUGCUACCUUCGAGCCUUCCCUAAUAAAUCAAAGAAACAAACCAAUCAGAUGAAAAAUAAUAAGUAGAACUAAUUUUUUUUUUUUUUAUAAGCUAGAACAAAAUCUAUGUUCUGUUCCAGCA
rnacentral:lncRNA from 1 species